GCCAGCAGCCAUAUCACCCUGCAGCCCAAGACUGGUUGCCCGCUGAAGCUAAGCAGGGUUGAGCCUGGUCAGUACCUGGAUGGGAGACAUCCUGGGAAAACUAGGUUGCUGCUGGAA
rnacentral:rRNA from 1 species